UACGUAGGGGGCGAGCGUUGUCCGGAUUUAUUGGGCGUAAAGAGCGUGUAGGCGGCCAGGUAGGUCUGCUGUGAAAACUCGAGGCUCAACCUCGAGACGUCGGCGGAAACCAUCUGGCUAGAGUCCGGAAGAGGAGAGUGGAAUUCCUGGUGUAGCGGUGAAAUGCGCAGAUAUCAGGAGGAACACCGGUGGCGAAGGCGGCUUCCUGGACACUUACUGACGCUGAGACGCGAAAGCGUGGGGAGCAAACAGG
rnacentral:rRNA from 1 species